rnacentral:rRNA from 1 species
AAACUUUCAACAACGGAUCUCUUGGUUCUGGCAUCGAUGAAGAACGCAGCGAAAUGCGAUAAGUAAUGUGAAUUGCAGAAUUCAGUGAAUCAUCGAAUCUUUGAACGCACAUUGCGCCCGCCAGUUAUUCUGGCGGGCAUGCCUGUCCGAGCGUCAUU